rnacentral:piRNA from 1 species
UUCUGUGAAAUUUCGAUUAUC